UACGAGGGGGGCAAGCGUUGUUCGGAAUUAUUGGGCGUAAAGGGUGCGUAGGCGGUCUGAUAAGUCAUCUGUGAAAUCUAUGGGCUCAACCCAUAGUCUGCAGGCGAAACUGUCGGGCUUGAGUAUGGGAGAGGUGAGUGGAAUUCCGAGUGUAGAGGUGAAAUUCGUAGAUAUUCGGAAGAACACCAGUGGCGAAGGCGACUCACUGGACACGUAUUGACGCUGAGGUGCGAAAGCGUGGGGAGCAAACAGG
rnacentral:rRNA from 1 species